GAUGAACGCUGGCGGCGUGCCUAACACACGCAAGUCGAACGAAGCACCUUACCUGAUUCUUCGGAUGAAAGUUUGGUGACUGAGUGGCGGACGGGUGAGUAACGCGUGGGUAACCUGCCCUGUACAGGGGGAUAACAGCUGGAAACGGCUGCUAAUACCGCAUAAGCGCACGAGGAGACAUCUCCUUGUGUGAAAAACUCCGGUGGUACAGGAUGGGCCCGCGUCUGAUUAGCUGGUUGGCAGGGUAACGGCCUACCAAGGCAACGAUCAGUAGCCGGUCUGAGAGGAUGAACGGCCACAUUGGAACUGAGACACGGUCCAAACUCCUACGGGAGGCAGCAGUGGGGAAUAUUGCACAAUGGGGGAAACCCUGAUGCAGCAAGGCCGCGUGAGUGAAGAAGUAUUUCGGUAUGUAAAGCUCUAUCAGCAGGGAAGAUAAUGACGGUACCUGACUAAGAAGCUCCGGCUAAAUACGUG
rnacentral:rRNA from 1 species